GUGAAGUCAGGUAAUUGUGGAACUCUACAUUUAACUUUGCUGACCACUUUACUUUUUCUUCAUCCUCGCAGGAAGCAAGACGAAGAGCUUUGCACCAUGCUUCCUUCUCCCAAGAUGUCUCAAGCUUCAAAAAGCUCAGAGAACUAGAAACUAUACAUCACAUAAUGCGGAUCAGGAAGAGAGUUCUUUUUACUAAAAUCAAAUCAGCUUCUCACAACCAGAUGAAUUCAAUCUAAGAAGAAGUAUAAAGCUGUCAAGUUCUCUUUGCACCCACUCAAGUUUCCCUGAUGCAGUGCCCGGACUCACACAAUCCGAGAGGGCUCUUUUUCGAUCUUAUGUCUCCAACUCAAAAUAAUCUACCAUGUAAUAAAUUUAGCUAGAAUAGACGAUGAGUAUCUUAGACAUUUCCAACCUUUAUAUUUGAAGUAACUCAAGUACUAUGUAUGACCAAUGAAAGAUGCAGGAAGAGUUCUAAAUGAGACACACUUCAAAAAGUAAAGUCAAUCAGCUUCUAACUUACCAUUUUCUAGAGGGCAAGCUUGACCCAGAAACAGCAGCAACCGUGCAACCUUUGAGUGGAAUUUCAGCAUGGGAACCAUCGGACUCUAUUAGGACGAGAGAGUGAUUCUUGAUUUUAGCAAAUUUCUGAGUAGGUAUUACCUCUAAGAUGUCUUUCUGGGCCUUGUGCUGCUUGGUAGCUUUGUCGACGUUUAAAGCUUUCAGGAUUCUA